GUUAAUUCAUUGAAUUAUUUAUUAAUUGGUAACCAUGCACAUUUAACGUUAGUUCAUGUGACUUGAUCAGAUGUCAAAUUCAUUAUAAUGUGGCUCAGAGAGGAGGGACUCAGUGUUCAUAUGAUCUUAGUGUCUGACAGAGACUGCGUUUGAAAGCAUUCAGCUUGACUCUUCUCAGAGUGAACACUUGUACAAUGGAUCUUCAUUCAGUCAUUCUAUUCUGUGCCUCAGCUGCUGUUGUCUUAGGGAAUGUCAUUAAACCAAACAAAACAUAUGUUUUUGUUGAGGAAGGUUCAAGUGUUACAUUAUCCUGUAAUUUUUCUGCAUCCGGAGGUUCAGAUUAUCUCCACUGGUACCGUCAGUAUGGAAGAUCAAAACCUGAAUUUCUUGUACUCACCCACAGCAAAGCAAAAGGAACUGAGGUGUCUAAGAUAGAUCCAAGAUUCUCUGUUAACAUUCCAAAAAGUGAACAUGUGGAUCUGAAGAUCUCCUCUGCUGCUGUAUCAGACUCUGCUCUGUACUACUGUGCUCUGGUGCCCACAGUGACAGGAAACACAUCAGCUCUCUACAAAAACUUGUUACAGUAAGAGACAAGAGAGAAACACAGAGACAGAGAUAAAGACAGAGAGAAAGAAGCUGUAAGUGUUUUAUACUGUGUAGUGUACUAUAUAAAGUAUUAUGUAUGUCAGAAAAAUAAUAGAACCAAUGAAAAUAAAUCACAGGUAGCUACCAAAAUCUAAAGGUAGACAAAUCAUUUAACUAGUAUAUGAAAAAAAAAAAAAAAAAAAAAAAAAAAAAAACAAGAAAAAAAAAAAAAAAAAAAAAAAAAAAAAAAAUAACAGAAGUACAACAAAAAUAAAACAAAAAAAAAAAAAUUAAUAAUAUAAGAAAAAAAAAAAAAAAAAAAAAAAAAUGAAUACAAACAAAAAUUAACAUUUUAAAGUGAAAAAAUCUUCGGCAAUAUAAAGUAUGUUAAAAUCCUACAGGUCUGUUGUACAAUCAUAUUUGACAAAUCAAUUUAAAACAUGGUGUAAUAAAAAAUAAAAUAAACAGUCAAUGUAAUAAAUGUUAAAAUAUUUUGCAUGAUUCUCAUGUGUAAUACAUAGUGCAUCUUUUGCUUGUUCCAAAUUAAAGUACAUAUUACAGUAUAGUACAGUAAAUUAUAGUAUAGUAUAUAUAUACAUAGCUAGACUAUAAUUAGAAAGUAUUUUUUCUUCUAAUUUCCAUCGGUUAAUAUUUCCAUGUUCAAGAGAAAUGAGAGGAAACUACAGUGAAAAAUGCAAGAACAUCAAGAAUUUAAGCCAUGCCUUUAUGUUGCAGGAAGUUCCUGUGUGUGUUUCUGACUGAUCUGCAGUGACUUUCAGCUCAGAGCACUGAGAGCCUCAACAGAGAACUGAACUGAUCUGACUGAACAUGGACAGAUGCUUUAUAUUGGUUCUCAUUGUGGGAACAGGUACAUUAUUUGCUGAACAGCUGAUGAAACCGAACAGUUUUAAAAGAUAAAACCCCAAAAGCUUUUUCCAUAAAAGAAGUAAAUUGUAUUUGCAAAAUUCUUUUGUUUAUUUUUUUAUUAUGUGUUUAUUAUUAUUUUGGUUGUAUGUGCUUAUUGUUCACAGGUUUGGUGGCUGGAGACAGUAUUGGACCAGAUAAAGGGACAGAGAAAACUUGUAAAGAAACAGAAACUGUCAAGCUGAGCUGCUCAUAUAGUACAAGUUAUGAAAAUGUUUGGCUUUACUGGUACAGACAGUAUCCCAACACAGAACCACAAUUCUUAUUAUACAAAGCUGCACGGUCAGCGAGUGGUGAACGCACAUCUGAUCGUCGGUUUCAAUCGGCUACAUCACGCACAUCCACUGAACUCACUAUUGCUGAUGUACGUCUCUCAGAUUCAGCUCUCUAUUAUUGUGCUCUAAGAGUAGCAGCCCAGUGAUACAAAACAUGAGACAUGUCAUACAAAAACCUGAAGCUUUUUUCACUUUGAAAAUAUCUAGUGAAAACCACAAUCAAAACCACAAUCUAUAUAGCCCCAAAUGUAAUAAAAUAUGUGGUCACUCCUGUGUAAGACAGAAUUAGAUAUUUGUUGCAAGGCAUCAAUUGUAAAUUAGAAACUUAAGAAAAGUAGCAUUAAUAUGUCCAGACUACUUUUAUAUGGUCAUGUAAUCUCCAUUCUCUGGCAGAAACAGAAUCACUUUUAUAAUAAUCUCUUAAAUGUAAAACCACUUUGAAUUCUUUUAUAAUUAAUAAACUAACUUUCAUUAUAUUGAUUUUCAUUACAUUCCUGACAUUCUGAUUCAAAUUCCAAUUCAGCUUCC
rnacentral:lncRNA from 12 species